GCCCGGAUAGCUCAGCUUGGUAGAGCGAGAGACUCUUAAUCUCUAGGUCCAGGGAUCGAGACCCUGUUCGGGCG
rfam:Paramecium tetraurelia chromosome undetermined scaffold_178, whole genome shotgun sequence.